rnacentral:rRNA from 1 species
UAGGGAAUCUUCGGCAAUGGGGGCAACCCUGACCGAGCAACGCCGCGUGAGUGAAGAAGGUUUUCGGAUCGUAAAGCUCUGUUGUAAGAGAAGAACGUGUGUGAGAGUGGAAAGUUCACACAGUGACGGUAACUUACCAGAAAGGGACGGCUAACUACGUGCCAGCAGCCGCGGUAAUACGUAGGUCCCGAGCGUUGUCCGGAUUUAUUGGGCGUAAAGCGAGCGCAGGCGGUUUAAUAAGUCUGAAGUUAAAGGCAGUGGCUUAACCAUUGUUCGCUUUGGAAACUGUUAAACUUGAGUGCAGAAGGGGAGAGUGGAAUUCCAUGUGUAGCGGUGAAAUGCGUAGAUAUAUGGAGGAACACCGGUGGCGAAGCGGCUCUCUGGUCUGUAACUGACGCUGAGGCUCGAAAGCGUGGGGAGCAAACAGG